UACGUAGGGUGCAAGCGUUGUCCGGAAUUAUUGGGCGUAAAGAGCUCGUAGGCGGUCUGUCGCGUCUGCUGUGAAAACUCAGGGCUUAACCCUGAGCUUGCAGUGGGUACGGGCAGACUAGAGUGCGGUAGGGGAGACUGGAAUUCCUGGUGUAGCGGUGAAAUGCGCAGAUAUCAGGAGGAACACCGGUGGCGAAGGCGGGUCUCUGGGCCGUAACUGACGCUGAGGAGCGAAAGCAUGGGAGCGAACAGG
rnacentral:rRNA from 1 species